rnacentral:rRNA from 1 species
AGGGAAUCUUCCACAAUGGACGAAAGUCUGAUGGAGCAACGCCGCGUGAGUGAAGAAGGUUUUCGGAUCGUAAAACUCUGUUGUCAGAGAAGAACGUGUGCGAGAGUAACUGUUCGUGCAGUGACGGUAUCUGACCAGAAAGCCACGGCUAACUACGUGCCAGCAGCCGCGGUAAUACGUAGGUGGCAAGCGUUGUCCGGAUUUAUUGGGCGUAAAGGGAACGCAGGCGGUUUUUUAAGUCUGAUGUGAAAGCCUUCGGCUUAACCGAAGUCGUGCAUUGGAAACUGGAGAACUUGAGUGCAGAAGAGGAGAGUGGAACUCCAUGUGUAGCGGUGAAAUGCGUAGAUAUAUGGAAGAACACCAGUGGCGAAAGCGGCUCUCUGGUCUGUAACUGACGCUGAGGUUCGAAAGCGUGGGUAGCAAAC